UCUACAAGAGAGUGACGAAGAGGAUAAGAGCACAAAUGAGAAGGUAGAUUGGGCUCUACUGAUGAGAAGGUUGCUUCUACUACAUCUGCUGCUUCUUGAUCACUUAAAGGGUGAUGAAGAUGACCAUGAAAGCCGCCUCCUCUUGUCGACGUAUUUGACAUUGUCGUUGUCUUCUUCAGGGAAGAAAACUAAGAGAAACCCCAAACCCCACCCAUCACUGCCGCUCUUCGUCUUUCUAGAGAGAUAUCAAUCUGAUCCUGUCCCAUGCCUUAACAUCGGUGCCGGUGCCGCUGAGUAAAGAGGUGGGAAAAGGGAUCAGGCGGAGAGGUAAGGAGGAGAGGAUUGCUCAAGUGUGUUGAGUAUAUCUAUUAUAUGCAACUUGCAGGCCCCUCAGAGGUGGUGUUCUUACAUGGGUUCCGGGGAUAUGGUAUUCGUGGAGGCACCAGAUGAUUGUCAUUGCCAUUGCCAAUGCCAGAUUCCGGGCAAAGGCGCCGGAGUUCAGAGGAUAUGUCCUCUCCCAACAGCCCCCCAAACCCAAGAAGGCCUCAUUCAAGGUUCUUCUUGAAGAUCUCCUUGCCAUUCGGCUUCUUCUUCAUUCCCAAGAAACCUGGACGAGCUGAAGCAGAUUUUGGUCGCUUCAAUGUGAAGACAGUGGUGCGGAGCAUCUACAAUCUGUUAUCAGGAAGCGAACUACCUAUAGCUGCUGAGGAUCUGGAGAUCAUGGACUUGGUGGAUCCUUCUUCUCCUCUACCAACUUGGUUCACUGAGGAAGAUCUUGCAGUUUAUGCAUCAUUAUAUGAAAAAUCUGGAUUCUGUACUCCAUUGCAAGUCCCCUGUAGGACCUUACAUGAAGAGUUGACUGAUGCAAGAGUCCAAGUUCCUGCACUGCUGAUCAUGGGUGAAAAAGACUACUACAUAAGGAGCGGAAAGGUGAAAGACUAUGUCCCUGAUUUAGAGACCACAUUCAUGCCCAAGAAACACAUUUUGUUCAGGAGCAAUUUCCAGACCAGGCCCCUUAGUGGUGCUAUUCUUACAUGGGUUCCCAGAGAUAUGAUAUUCGUGGAGGCACCAGAUGAUCGUCGUCGCCAAUGCCGGAUUCCAGGCAAUAGCACCAGAUUUCAGAGGCUAUGGACUCUCCCAGCUGCCUCCCGAAGCCGAGAAGGCAUCAUCUCAAGGACCUUAUUGAAGGUCUCCUCGCCAUUCUCGAAUUUUUCUCCAUUCCCAAGGUUUUCAUUGUUGGGAAAGAUUUUGGAGCCCAUCCUGCUUACUUGUAAGCAGUUCUUCACCCAGAGAGAGUUUCAGGAGUAGUAACAUUGGGGGUGCCAUACAGUCCCUCUCGUUCAUCUGCAUUAGUUGGUGACCUUCCUGAAGGCUUCUACAUUUUAAGAUGGCAGGUAGUGUGGUGCUGUUGUCUUUUGCUUUUUCCAUUGCAGUGAUCAGAACCUAUGAUGAUGUCCACCAAACGUGACAAACAUGUAGAGGGUCCGGACUCAAACAUCAAGACCCACUGGUCUCUCCUAAGAGAUCUUCUGGGCCAGUAUUGGAUUGAUUUUCUCUUAUGAAAUAGUAAUAUACUGUGCACUAACCAAUUGAAACAAAGCCAUUAUUUUCUGUUGGAGUUAGUGUUCAGUUUUUGGCCUUGGAGAUCCCUUCAUAUUCGCUUCCAAAAAUGUUUGAGAGAAAUUUUUCACUGGGGCCCAUCUAUGAAUACAAGUAUUGAUCACUGACCCAGUUCAGUGAUCCAACAUCUCUCAGGUUACUUUAGUUCUCAUUUCUUUGAAGAAAAACUGAACUCCUGCAUUUGUCAUUUUAGAAACCUGGACGAGCCGAAGCAGAUUUUGGUCCCUUCAAUGUGAAGACGGUGGUGCGGAACAUCUACAUUCUGUUUUCAGGAAGUGAACUACCUAUGGCUCCUGAGGAUCAGGAGAAGACCUGGUGGAUCCCUCUUCUCCUCUUAACAACUUGGUUCACUGAGGAAGAUCUUGCAGUCUAUGCAUCAUUAUAUGAAAAAUCUGGAUUCUGUACUCCAUUGCAAGUCCCCUAUAGGGCCUUACUUGAAGAGUUUAACUUGACUGAUGCAAGAGUCCAAGUUCCUGCACUGCUGAUCAUGGGUGAGAAAGACUGUGUCCUCAAAUUCCCAAGAAUGGAGGACUACGUAAGGAGCGGAAAGGUGAAAGACUAUGUUCCUGAUUUGGAGAUAACAUUCUUGCCAGAAGGAACACAUUUUGUUCAGUAGCAAUUUCCAGAUCAGGUGAAUCAGCUCAUCCUAAACUUCCUCAAGAAGCAUACUUGCUCAACUUCUCAGUGAUGUUUCUAGAAAAUUGACUGACAUCUCAUGGAUGUUUGAAAUAUGUAAUAAUCAGAUUUCAACAAAAAGUUAAAUAUAUAAUCCACCCCGAACCCCGCAAUGGCAGAGCCUCGUGCAUUAGUAUGCCCUUUUUUAUAUCUAUCAGUGUACUUGUACUCCAUCAAAAGGAAUCCUCUUCUCAUUUUUCA